AGGGGGGAAGGGGUACAGAAAAUAAAUACAAGGGGGGGGCAUUGGGAGGGUGGUGUAUUAAUCAUAUAUCCCAUAGUUCAUAACCACUUCAACAUUUGUCCCAUAUUUGUUCUCCAAACAUAGUUUCUUUUGCUUACUGCUACUUUAUUCCCCUCUUAUUUUUCCAUUUUGAUCUAAUGAUUCUCUGAAUCUGUGCCAUGGGGUCCAAAUCUUCCAAUAAGUUGCACUAUUACUGUGAUAUAUAUACGUUAACUCCUCUAGCUGUCUUAUUUCUUCUACUGAUCUCAUCCAUUCAUUGAAUGAAGGAGGUUCCUUGGAUUUCCAAUGUUUUGGGAUUAAAGAUUUGGCUACUUGGAUAAGAUAAACAGUAAGUAUAUCAUCUAAUAUCUUGUGGUUCUCCAGAUUUACAUUUAGUAGCAAUGUUACUUGAUCUUCUAUCUGUACAUUGACUGAUGUGAUUAUUUUUAUGCUUUCUAAGAUUUGUUCCCAAUAAUCCUUCAGUUUUGGGCAGGUUAACCACGUAGAUGGUUUCCCACUUGAUCAUUGCAUCUCCAACACCCGUAUUGCUUUUGCGGGUAUAUUUUAUUUAGCCUUGCUGGGGUUAAAUGCCACCUUGUAAUUAUUUUAUAGAUUGCUUCUUUCAUUUUUGAAGCCCUGGCCUUUUUGUUUCCUUGCUUAAAAAUAUUCACCCACAUUUGUUCUGGUAUAUUAACUCCCAGUUCUUUCUCCCAGGAGUGACAGAACGAUGGUAAUUUAUAUUCACCUGAAUGGAGGAGGAUAUCGUAUACCUUUGAGAGAGGUUUAAUCAAGUCUGGGUACAAAACCUGCUUGAUCCUGAUGGAUUAUUGAUGCUUGGAGCCCAGUGCUAUUAGAUAGCCUCUUAAGACACAUUUUACAGUUUCCCAUAAGGUUGACGGUGAUAUUUCAGGUGUUUUAUUGUUUGAUAUAAUUUGUUUAAUCCAUUUUUGUAUCAUAUCCUUGUUAUCUG